AUCUGAGUAGAAGGGAAACACGGUCUAGUUGUUUCUGUCGUGAAAAUGCAAAGAUUAUAUUUUUGGAAGAGUGAAUGAGUUAGCAACUUCAGUUAUCUAUUCAAACCAACUUCGGCUUGUAAUCAAGAGUGAAGCUGCGGUGUUGGAUACAGAAAACAUUGCUUAUGGAUGGUUUUGGUUUGCGUUAAGAAGAAAGCAGUUAGAGAUCGACGGAACCGUUAUUAUUUUGGUUGGUGUUCAAGGUUUCUUAAAUAUUUCACCAAGAAAUGAUCCUGCGUUUACAGAUUACCGAUUUUGGAACAGGACAACGCUAUGGCACACUGGUGAUGAUAAUACGUGGAUAAAGAUACUCAAGAUGAACCUAUGAUGGGUGAAGCAGUUGCUGGUUCAUGUGUUGGAUGUCAGAUCCGCGUUGUUACUGUUUUUACUCUGCUCUAUUUUAUUCUACAGAAACUGUUGUCGUGGAUGUACAAAUGUUCUGCCACUACCUGCGAAAGUGACGUCGCACGAGACACGAACAAGACGUUACGACGUAACAGAAGACGCGGGGAUUACGUAUUCUUAAAGUGUAAAGAGAGGUUACGUAUCAACGUAUUAACGCGGAAUUAAAGGAGCUACUUUCUUGUGGAUUACUGAGACGCCAUGGUGUAAUUUUCAAUAGAAUAUCGUGUAACCAUGGAUACCAAAUGGAUCUGUUUGUGAAAAUAAGCAUUGCGCAAGUUUUGUCACGGUCAAGUUGUCACGGAUCAUGGUCAAGUGAGCAAAGCCAGAGGUCAAGCCAUUGAAGUUCAACACCGUCAUCAAAUCGUUAUUGGAACUUUCAAGAUGGCCGCUUGUCAAAAUAACGCUCUAUGCCGGAGGUCUGUAAAUGGUCGCGUCUGAACAGACAACCCAGUGAUUGACAUCAUGAGCAUCGACCCAAGCAAUUAGGAUACGACGACAUGCAUCAACAAAGUCAGCGAGUCUGACCACCUGAUCCCGUUCGUUGCCUUUUACGACAAGUUGAAG